GGGCUGCUCUGAGGCGUCGUGCCAGGCCCAGCGGCGUCGCAGUGCAUACGGCACAUUGCCCAUCAAGGCCUGGAGCCACAGUGGCCUCCUACUGCCAUGGUGCCCCAGUGGCUGGGGUCCUGCAUCCUGCACAAGUGAACAAGGAAGACCAGCAAGACCCUUAUUCUCUUAAAGACAUGCUUCUAAUGUAUUAAGAGGCAAG